GAUGAACGCUGGCGGCGUGCCUAAUACAUGCUAGUCGAGCGAACGGACGAGAAGCUUGCUUCUCUGAUGUUAGCGGCGGACGGGUGAGUAACACGUGACUAACCUACCUAUAAGACUGGGAUAACUUCGGGAAACCGGAGCUAAUACCGGAUAAUAUUUUGAACCGCAUGGUUCAAAAGUGAAAGACGGUCUUGCUGUCCCUUAUAGAUGGAUCCGCGCUGCAGUAGCUAGUUGGUAAGGUAACGCCUUACCAAGGCAACGAUGCAUAGCCGACCUGAGAGGGUGAUCGGCUCCACUGGAACUGAGACACGGUCCAGACUCCUACGGGAGGCAGCAGUAGGGAAUCGUCCGCAAUGGUCGGAAGCCUGACGUAGCAACGCCGCAUGAGUGAUGAGGUUCUUCGGAUCGUAAAACUCUGUUAUUAGGGAAGAACAUAUGUGUAAGUAACUGUGCACAUCUUGACGGUACCUAAUCAGAAAGGCACGGCUAACUACGUG
rnacentral:rRNA from 1 species